UGAAGUAUAGCUCAAUUGGUAGAGCGCCUGACUCUGACUCAGGAGGUUUAAGGUUCGAGACCUUAUACUUCAG
rnacentral:tRNA from 1 species